UUGCCUGGCGGCACUAGCGCGGUGGUCCCACCUGACCCCAUGCCGAACUCAGAAGUGAAACGCCGUAGCGCCGAUGGUAGUGUGGGUGAAACGCCGUAGCGCCGAUGGUAGUGUGGGGUCUCCCCAUGCGAGAGUAGGGAACUGCCAGGCAUC
rnacentral:rRNA from 1 species